GAAAUAUUUGUUUAUUUUUCUUUAAAAACUGUUGAGAAAAAUGGGUAUAAAUACUUGAUUCUUCGUAGUAAUCGAUAUAUUACUUUCGAAUAAGUUGGAAAUUUCAACACUUCACUCGCACUUCAUUAAUUAUCUACUAUUCAUUUCAAUAUGAAUUUUAAAUUGACUUUCCUGAUUGUAUUAAUCGCAAUAUUAUCAUCCGUUGCUUUCGUCCGAGGAUGUGGGCAGGAGAAUUCUGUCUGUUCUCACCAAUCGGAUUGUUGUGACAACUUGUUUUGUUUCGCAGGUGCACAUUCAAAUUUUUGCAAAAAAUAAUAACACAUGAAUCUAUAAAAUUUGAAUGAAAUAAUGAGUAAAAUUAAAAUUGCGAAAUAAACGUAUAAUUUGUAACCUCAAAUGUUCACUUCAAUAAUUAUACUUAUUAUAUUCAAU